rnacentral:rRNA from 1 species
AGAGUUUGAUCCUGGCUCAGGAUGAACGCUGGCGGCGUGCCUAAUACAUGCAAGUCGAGCGAAUGGAUUAAGAGCUUGCUCUUAUGAAGUUAGCGGCGGACGGGUGAGUAACACGUGGGUAACCUGCCCAUAAGACUGGGAUAACUCCGGGAAACCGGGGCUAAUACCGGAUAACAUUUUGCACCGCAUGGUGCGAAAUUGAAAGGCGGCUUCGGCUGUCACUUAUGGAUGGACCCGCGUCGCAUUAGCUAGUUGGUGAGGUAACGGCUCACCAAGGCAACGAUGCGUAGCCGACCUGAGAGGGUGAUCGGCCACACUGGGACUGAGACACGGCCCAGACUCCUACGGGAGGCAGCAGUAGGGAAUCUUCCGCAAUGGACGAAAGUCUGACGGAGCAACGCCGCGUGAGUGAUGAAGGCUUUCGGGUCGUAAAACUCUGUUGUUAGGGAAGAACAAGUGCUAGUUGAAUAAGCUGGCACCUUGACGGUACCUAACCAGAAAGCCACGGCUAACUACGUGCCAGCAGCCGCGGUAAUACGUAGGUGGCAAGCGUUAUCCGGAAUUAUUGGGCGUAAAGCGCGCGCAGGUGGUUUCUUAAGUCUGAUGUGAAAGCCCACGGCUCAACCGUGGAGGGUCAUUGGAAACUGGGAGACUUGAGUGCAGAAGAGGAAAGUGGAAUUCCAUGUGUAGCGGUGAAAUGCGUAGAGAUAUGGAGGAACACCAGUGGCGAAGGCGACUUUCUGGUCUGUAACUGACACUGAGGCGCGAAAGCGUGGGGAGCAAACAGGAUUAGAUACCCCAGUAGUCC